rnacentral:rRNA from 1 species
GAUGAACGCUAGCUACAGGCUUAACACAUGCAAGUCGAAGGACCGGCGCACGGGUGUGUAACACGUAUCCAACCUGCCUUUUACUCGGGGAUAGCCUUUCGAAAGAAAGAUUAAUACCCGAUGUAAAGGAUGGGGAUGCGUUCCAUUAGGUUGUUGGUGAGGUAACGGCUCACCACGCCUUCGAUGGAUCGGGGUUCUGAGAGGAAGGUCCCCAACAUUGGAAAUGAGACACGGUCCAAAAUCCUAGGGGAGGCAGGAGUGAGGAAUAUUGGUCAAUGGGCGUGAGCCUGAACCAGCCAAGUAGCGUGAAGGAUGAUGGCGUAUGUGUGGUAAACUUCUUUUAUAUAAGAAUAUGUAUUAUAUGAAUAAGGAUCGGCUAACUCCGUGCCAGCAGCCGCGGUAAUUC